GUGUUCACAGUAAAACUGUAACUUAAAGCAGAUACAGCCUCAGUGUUCACAGUAAAACUGUAACUUAAAGCAGGUACAGCCUCAGUGUUCACAGUAAAACUGUAACUUAAAGCAGGUACAGCCUCAGUGUUCACAGUAAAACUAACUUAAAGCAGGUACAGCCUCAGUGUUCACAGUAAAACUAACUUAAAGCAGGUACAGCCUCAGUGUUCACAGUAAAACUGUAACUUAAAGCAGGUACAGCCUCAGUGUUCACAGUAAAACUAACUUAAAGCAGGUACAGCCUCAGUGUUCACAGUAAAACUGUAACUUAAAGCAGGUACAGCCUCAGUGUUCACAGUAAAACUGUAACUUAAAGCAGGUACAGCCUCAGUGUUCACAGUAAAACUGUAACUUAAAGCAGGUACAGCCUCAGUGUUCACAGUAAAACUAACUUAAAGCAGGUACAGCCUCAGUGUUCACAGUAAAACUAACUUAAAGCAGGUACAGCCUCAGUGUUCACAGUAAAUGGGAGCUGGAAAUUGAACAGGAUUUUUCACAACGUUCAAGUUGGUGCACAGCAGACCUGAAAUUUUAUCAAUGUUUAAAAAAACAAAAAACAUUGAGGGAACAUUGGCUCCAAAUAUGAAAAUGUAUUGAAAAACUGUGCCACUACUAAAUAAAUACAGGGGAAACCUUGCCUUUACGUGUUCAAGAGUCGCAAUAUAACAUGUCUGGUCACCUUGAUCAACCAAUCUAUAUUAUCUCACA